rnacentral:rRNA from 1 species
AUAAAAAUUUAACAAACCCCUCCCUUUUAUUAUCAAGCUUAAAAACACCAUAAUAAACAAGUACCACAAGGGAAAAUUGAAAUAAAAUGAAAAAUAAGAAAAAAAAAAGGAGAAAACCGUACCUUUAGUAUUAUGGUUUUACAAGUUUUAAAGAAAAACAAUCUCCUCACCCGAAAUUUGGGGAGCUAACCUCUUCUCUUUUCAAGAAAGAAAAUAACCACUGUUGCAAGAGUGGUAAAAAAGAAAAGGUUAGAAGUAAAAUGCUAAUCCGACCCAAAUGAUAGCUGGUUUUCGAAGAAACAAGUUUCAGCUCUUUCUCCUUAAAAAUCUUAAAUAUCCCUUUUAGGAAACUUUACAAAAAGGAAGAAAAGAGGGAAGAAGACAAGUUCCUCCCUCCACAGGAAAACAACCCGACAUAAAGGAAAAUCUCUAAAGAAAAAAAACCUAGUAGGCCUAAAAGCGGCCAACAAAAGAAAGCGUUACAGCUCAUACUUUUUACUUCUAAAAAUCUUUUUAAAACUAUAAACCUUAUUUUAGGUACUCGAAAAUAAUAAUGUAAAAACUAGUAAAAUAACUUUAUUAAUGAAAACAACAAACAAAAACCAAGACAAAUAAAAAUCCAAGAACCUUUUUAAAGUCCAAUCAACCCAGACAAUUAAAAUUUAUUAAUAAAAAAGGAAAGAAGGAACUAGGCAAAAAUGAAAAUGACUGUUUACCAAAAACAUAGCCCCUUGUGAUUCAUAAGGGGUAAAGCCUGCCCAGUGGAGAAUAUCUUAACGGCCGCGGUAUCUUGACCGUGCAAAGGUAGCAUAAUCAUUUGUCUCUUAAUUGGGGACUGGAAUGAAUGGCACCACAUUUUCCAUCUGUCUCCUUUCCUUCCCUUCUAAACUUCUACUAACGUGAAGAAGCGUUAAUAAAAAAGAAAGACGAGAAGACCCUGUCGAGCUUCAGCUAAAAAGGAAAAAUUAUAUCUUCUUCUCUAAGAAACAAAAACCUUCCUUUUAAAGCUUUGGUUGGGGCAACCAUGGAGAAUAAAACACCCUCCAGUAAUAAUAUAGAUAUCUCAUCCUUUACCAAAAAUCCAGAACCAAAAUAAUUGGAAACCGGAAACAGUUACCGCAGGGAUAACAGCGUUAUCUUCUUUAAGAGCCCUCAUUGACAAGAAGGAUUGCGACCUCGAUGUUGGAUUAGGGUAACCAAAAGGUGCAACAGCUUUUUUAGGUAGGACUGUUCGUCCAUUAAUCCCCUACAUGAUCUGAGUUCAGACCGACGCAAGUCAGGUCAGCUUCUAUCUUCUUAUUAACUCUUCUUUAGUACGAAAGGACCAAGAAGAAUUUUCCAAUAAUCUUCUUUAAGAAAAACAACAUAUCCUCUUUUAACUAUAAUU